GUGAAAAAUAAGAGCAGAAAUACUUUCUUCAUGGCAGAAAAAGAAAGUGCUCAAAGGCUUUCUUCAUACUGAAAGGUCUAGCAGAAGGGUACAAAAGAGUAGAAGUUACCCAUACUGAAAUCGCAGCUGCCCACUACAGUGGACCUGACAGUCAGCUGUUGGUUCAACACAUCCGCAGCCCUUAUGAAAUAGGAUUGCAGAUCUUACAAAUGGAUCCCAGACUUAAUCUUCCAAGCUCUGCAUCUCUCUGCUCCCCAUCCAAACAAGCAAGACAAAUGUUCACAGUCCAAGGACACAUUCCAGCCAGGCAAAAGCAUCUGUGGAGAGUGCGGAACAAGGCUGCAUUUUAUCCCAUCUUUUGUGGUCAAGCUAUCAAGAUAUGUUUUGGAUUCCCAUAAUUUAAUCAUUGGCCGGCAAGAAAAUAAUCACUUGAAGGAGGGACUUCCAUUAUAAGAUGAUCACAGAUGAUUUCUAGCUAUUCUGAGACAGGUUUCUAGGUGCUGCUUGUUAGAGAUGGAUGAGCUAUGAAAAAGACAC